CCCCCACUUAGCAUAAAUAGGCCAAGCUCACACUCACAAGCUACCCCAGAACCAAACGGCAAGAAGAGCAAAAGAGAGAACAAUCUUUUUUAUCAGCAAAUGUCUCUUCCUUUCAAGUCCUGUUUUCUCAUCCUCCUCAUCCUUCUCCAUGCAUGUCUGGGCAAUAGCGAAAGCAUCGACACUGCGAAGUCUCUGAGGUCUGCAAAAGGCGAGGGUAAUGUUGCAGUGAAGGUGAGGAAGCUUAUUGGACUGGAAGCACUGCUGGACUAUGAACCUCCAGGAGCUAAUCCUGCUCAUGAUCCCAAAAAAGGUGGUGGAAAAGGCCCUUGAAUGAAACCCAACAAAAUGUAUCUAUCUAUCUAUAUAUAUGUUGUCCUUUAUAAGCGCCAAUGCAAUGACUGUCUAACGUGUCGUGGUGGCGAGAGUGAGAGCGAGAUAGAGAGAGAGAGUUGCGUGCCAGAGAAACAGACUAGGUUUUGGUGCUGAAAAUGGUGUUGGGAGAAGGGAUUGAUGAUGUUGAGCUUGAGCAUUGUGGUAUAUAUGUAUUGGUGAUUGUAUAUCGUGUUCUUAUAUUUAUAUUACCAAGUGAUGGUUCUACAGUUGUCCA